ensembl:misc_RNA
CUGAGAGGACUCUCGCUCUUUUGCUGCAUGGUCACUCACAUGGAGGAUCUGGUAGACUUUAAAAUACUUUUCAAAUAUCCUUCACAAUCCAGCC